rnacentral:rRNA from 1 species
CCUACGGGAGGCAGCAGUGGGGGAUAUUGCACAAUGGGGGGAAGCCUGAUGCAGCGACGCCGCGUGGGUGAAGAAGGGCCUCGGCGCGUAAAGCCCUGUCAGCAGGGAAGAAAAUGACGGUACCUGAAGAAGAAGCCACGGCUAACUACGUGCCAGCAGCCGCGGUAAUACGUAGGGGGCAAGCGUUAUCCGGAUUUACGGGGUGUAAAGGGGGCGCAGACGGCGAUGCAAGCCAGGAGUGAAAGCCCGGGGCCCAACCCCGGGACUGCUCUUGGAACUGGGUGGCUGGAGUGCAGGAGGGGCAGGCGGAAUUCCUGGUGUAGCGGUGAAAUGCGUAGAUAUCAGGAGGAACACCGGUGGCGAAGGCGGCUUGCUGGACUGCAACUGACGUGGAGGCCCGAAAGCGUGGGGAGCAAACAGGAUUAGAUACCCUAGUAGUC